rnacentral:rRNA from 1 species
AUUGAACGCUGGCGGCAGGCCUAACACAUGCAAGUCGAGCGCGCGGCGGACGGGUGAGUAAUGUGUGGGAACCUGCCAGAUGGCGGGGGAUAACUCCUGGAAACGGUAGCUAAUACCGCAUACCAGCCGAUGUGCCCAGAUGGGAUUGGCUAGUAGGUGGGGGAACGGCUCACCUAGGCGACGAUCCCUAGCCGGUCUGAGAGGAUGACCGGCCAACCUGGAACUGAGACACGGUCCAGACUCCUACGGGAGGCAGCAGUGGGGAAUAUUUCGCAAUGGGCGAAAGCCGGAUGGAGCCAUGCCGCGUGUAUGAAGAAGGGCUUCGGGUUGUAAAGUACUUUCAGCGGGGAGGCGGUACCCGCAGAAGAAGCACCGGCUAACUCCGUGCCAGCAGCCGCGGUAAUUC